UUAGUAACGUCUUUAUUAUAAUAUAUAACCUAGAUUAAGAUUGCUGAUUAGUCUUGUUAAUUUUUUUCUCUGAGAUAUGAUAUGAUCUAUGAUGACUAUAAUUAUAUAGCUCAUCCAUCUUGGUUCGAUAAUGACCAGUUUUGUCAUCCAGGGGGCUGAGGGCUUUGCACUGGGGUUGUAUGUCUUUCUUUGUCCACCUUGUGGACGCUUUCCUUCCCUUAAUUGGCCACACACGGAUCGUUUAGGGAUGCGGCAGUCUUCCAUUCUGCAGAUGUGUCCUGCCCAUCGCAGCUGGGACUGCAUGAUUGUGUGGAUGCUUUGAUCUUUUAUUAGAAAUGGCAUUAAUGUAGUCUCCAGAUAAAAGGGCAAGAUCUUUUUGUGACGAAACGCGUCCCUUCGCAAUACAGAACUGACCAGUGCGGAACUAACCCCCCCCCCUCUUAACCACUAGUUAGCAUUGUAUAGCCCCUUUUACACUAAACUGACCAGGGUAGAACACAAACAAUCUAUUACACCAAGGUUAGAUCCAACCCCCAAAUCAUAGGCCAUAAACACACAUCCCAAGUUAUACCCAGACGUCGAAACAAACGUACGCAGCCGUUAAGUUCAGGAACAUUAAAAUUGAAUGUUACGCCCCAAACGCCGAAACAAAAGCACGCAACCGUGAAGUCCAGGGACAUUAAAAUUUGGUGUCCACGUACAUCCCUUUGAGUCGACACUCCUAACGCCCAGGGCUAUUCAAAUCGUUUCCGUCCGCUGUACCAUCGAGCGAUGGUCCAGCCUGAUAAUUGUUGCAUGGUUCCGCUUUCAUCCUCCCUCGCCCCCCCCCCCCCCCCGGGUCGCGGGUUAAAGAAGUCAGGUGAAUGAGCCCCAAAUGAAAAGAUUGGUCCAAUUUAACAAUUCUAAACUCAAAAGACUCGCUGGCCAUUGGAUCAUCACUACUCUUAACAUACCGUUCGGGAACCUAUAAAAGCCGGAGACGAAAGUUUCAGGUUAAUGCCAUUCUAGAUCAGAAUCACUGAGAAGUCAGAAGACUCUCAAGUCAACGAUUCAUUUGGGAACUUGUGUAAGGCAAAGCGGGUGAGUUGGAAAAACUUUAUCAUUAUUAUUUAGUGUGUCUUCGCCUGUAACAUUUACGUUCAUAUAUCAUUACCAUGUUAAUACUUGUUUGCUUCCAAAUAUUAUAUUUGUAAAUCUCUAUGAAUAUGUGCUCCUUAAUAACUCGUCAAUGUCGAUUGUAUUCCCAACGGUGGACAUCCACCUUACAAUUUAGUUAAUCCUAAUAUUUAUUUAUGAAUUUGUUAUUUAUUCAUAUCCAUAUUCAUCUGGACCUACUCGCGUCUAGAUCAUUUCUUACCUGUGCACAUGUACCUGUAUAUGUGCACAUAUAUAUACAUUAUGAUUAUGCUUGUUUUGGUUAUGCACAUACGGUGCUGUUACCAUGCAUCCUUAGGCCCGAGAAUCAGUCUCGCAUGCCUACCCCACUAUUUUCGGCCUGUAUAAUUAUGUGCCCUUUUCUACCCCCCCCCCCCCCUUUUCUUCUUGUCACAGUCCUCUGGUCACGAGUGACCGCGGACUUGUUUACCUGUGGGUCAAUGAGGUCACAGGGGCUACAACCCUGUAAUAUGGUCCCCCUGUUUCCCUCCUCAUUUAUGCCCCUGCCUUGUACAUUUAUAUUUGUAUUUGUAUUAUUAUUAUUGUAUUAUUUGUACAGCAAUUAUUACCAGACUUAGGGAAUUGUCGUUAACAUGUAUCUUAGUUAGUCUGAGGGAGACGCUCCUAUCAAGGAUGCGCCCCUCGCCAACCAGUCUGUAUGGUUUAAUAAUUCAGGCUCCUCUCAUGUCUCAUUUCAUAGCCUCCUACACCAGGGCUGGCGUGUUUUGUUGCCUGAAGGCAGACCUCAGCAGCUCUCCACACAUUCCCGUUGAGGGUGAGUCACUCAUCACCCUCAAACCGAACCGAAGGCAUUCCAGGCUGACGUCCCAGGACCGGUCUGCAACUACCGCAGGAGUAAGCCCACCGCGUGGCAUCCUCAUAUUCAUCACAUUAGCGCCUGCCUACCUGCAGGGCACCAGCAACUGGCUACAACACAACGGAGCUUCAACUUAUCCAACCCCGAAGGAGAACCUUGCUUAACAGAUAAGUGAGAGACAGCCGAAUAAGCAAGCCAUACACGAAUCUUUAUGAGCAACAUCCCAGUGAUGAUAUUAUCUUAAACGUCAUCAUAAAAUCCUAAAUCAUUCUGUACAUCCCCCCCCCCACUCACUGAGUGUAUUUCUUCUUAAUUUAUCUUUAUUAAAUACUUGUUCUUCCACAAAACCAAUAAGCUUUGCGUUUUGCCUGUGCCUAUCUAUGUGCCUAUAUAACAUCAACCAAAUAUUUACCACGUUGUGGCUCUAAGACUUUACCCCUAGGAGUCGCAGGCCAUCGUCCCCAUCGGGAAGUGCAAACGGACCGAUCGGCGGACUUAUUCCACCACAACGGGGGUAAACUGUGACGCCUAGUCCGGGAUCACAAAACCCUAACUCAUUCAGUAUAGGCACAAGGCAAUAAGCAGAACGUUUACAAAUUUCCACCCACUAGACCCUAUAAAUAUAUAUUGAUAACAUAGAACUACAUAUUGCUCAGUAUGGUUUGAUUAUGUCAAUGCUGUAUAGUAUAUUAUAUUAAUUAUAUACUUGUUGUAUCAUAUUUAGAUAAUAACACAGGUGAAGACAUAAUUAAAUAAAUAUUCAGUUAGCCUCUCACCCACUUCAGCUUCUAGCAUAUUUCCCCAUCACCUCUAUCCCACAAAAAUGGCUGAAGGCACUAGAUCAAAAGCCGAAUCAGCUAAAUCUAUAAAAAUUCGCGAGCUCAACGAGUUGGCAGACCAAAUAGGCAUCAGGCCUGAAGACAGGCCGACAUUCAUCCUAGCUAAAUUCGAGGAGUGGGAAAAAGUUGAGAGGGAAAAAGAGAAAGAAGCUCACGCAUUCCGUAUGAAAGAAAAGGAAAUAGAGUUAGAAAAAUUAAAAGCUAACGACGAAUCGCGCACAACAAAUGCUGCCGAUCAAAACUCCCCUAACUGUCAAACCCCUCACUUCAACUUAGAACCUUUCGAUGAAACCAAAGAAAGUAUAGAGACUUUCUUAGAAAGAUUUCAAAACGUGGCUACCAACAACCAGCUACCAAUUGGCAAAUGGUCAUUUAGAGUGUCACAAGCUCUGCGGGGUAAGGCCUACGAGGUGUAUGCUAAGCUCCCCUCAUCUAGUCAAAACGACUACUCAGCGCUCAAGAACGCACUGCUAGUCCAGUUCGACUUGACCGCCAACUCCUACCACAAGAAAUUUAGGAACUCUCGCCUUGAAAGACGUGAGGUGUAUUCCAGUCUCUUUGCCAGACUAGAGAAAUACUUGGAUAAAUGGUUAUCCCUAAGUCCCUUCACUCAAAAUUAUGAAGGUCUAAAAGACCUUAUUCUGGUAGAACAGCUCCGCGAAUGUAUGGCCCCUGACCUUCGCAUCUUCAUAGAUGAAAGCGGUGUCACUACACCACAAGAAAUAGUCAGUUACUCUGAUAGAUUUCUAGCAGCCCACAGGGAGCAGAAAACUAAAACAUCAGACCAAAGCCCAUCGAUAGCGAAGGUAGAUAAGCAGCCCGACCCUUCAACUAGCAGCAAUAACAAUAACAACAAACAAACACGCCAGCCCAACAACCAAGCACCCCGCCUCCCCAUUCCUCCCAACCCGCCGAGGCAGCAAAAGAAGUGGUGCAGCUUCCAUAACUCUCCUACCCAUGACUCCAGCGAGUGUCAUAAUAGAAGUCGCCCUUACUCAGCCCAACCACUGAUGGUGAUAACACAAGCAACUCCCAUCCUAAACCCAUCACCGAGUAACCAUCCCCCUACAGUCGAAAAAGUAUUAGUGAACGGAAUAUCCUCUAAUUGUCUAUACGAUUCCGGGUGUUCCUUUUCGGCAAUCGUCAGGAAAUCAUUGGUAAAGCCCCGCUAUAUUAGCAACAAAUGGGUCACCAUACAAGGCGCAGACUUGAACUCUCCCCCAUUCACCCUUCCGAUCGCCCGAAUAAAGGUGAGAUCUAGAUAUGUCAACGGUAGGAUAGAGGCGGCCGUCAUGGACAACCCAUGCUUUGAUCUAACGCUUGGUGAUAAAUACGUGUUCCUGGGGACUCCUACAGACCCGAGGUUCACUACCCCAGGGGUCAUUCCGGUGAACCCCAAUGCAACUAACCCCUCGGUCCCUGAAACGGACCACAUCAGCGCAUUCCCUGUGAUUACUGGAGCCCAGGCUCCACAGGAUGGCGCAAGGGAAACCCUUAACUCUCUCCGCAGAGGAUACAAGGAAUCCCCACGAAGCUAUUUAUCGUCUGCAAAGAUUCUCGUUCCCGUGAAAAGGGAUAAGUCGAAAAUCCAUUGGCGCCCAAUAGCUCGCAAACCGGGCCUCCCACAGCACCAUUCGGGCGGGGAGGGAGGCGCACGAAGCCACGCGGCCCAGUCCCAGCGCUUCGGCCCUCAAACCCAGCAAAUUGGCCAACCCAACUCCCAGAACUCUAAACAGAGCCGAGGAGUAAAGGCCGAGAAUCCCAUCAGCAGUUCUAUCACGAAGAACGCUGACUCUAGCGGCACGACUGUUGUCAUGCAGGCCGCCAAUCUCAACGCUCUCGCCAUCGAGCGAAGCACCCAUUCUGCCAGCGCACCCAUCAAUGCACAGGGCACUGGCACUGCCGCCAUCGUCCUUCUGCAGGACUCUGGCAUCGACAGCGUAAUGGACAUCGCAUCCAGCGCCACAAUGGUUGCACCUGAUAUCGUGCGAGGCAUCAAACCCCUUGGUGCCGCCCUCGACUCACGGUCCACCGAAUCCCACCCCGGGCCACUCAACACGAGAAGCGCCUGUACAAACAGUUGUGAGACAAGACAAUGCCUCCCCCUCGAGACGCCUGGUAAGGUAUCUCUGUUCCCCACUUUACACAUUUCUGCACCCCUCCUCAACGCCGAGGGCCUAAAACCGCAUCCGCCCUUAAGCCACAUAGAUGAGCUACCCUCUAACCCCGCCGAGGUCAUUCUAAGUGAAAGCGACCCGCCACCCAGCCGACUAUCCAACUUGCAAGUUAGCUCGGCUAAUAAACGAGAAGACUGCAAAAUCUGUCUAAAGUUUCUAUGUGUAGUAGUCUUGUGGAUGUUUCUCGCACAUCACUAUGGUUCAAACCCUAAAGCAUCACAAGGGCCCUCACACGAUGGUUCAACUCUCCAUGUGCCUCCCAGACUAGUACUGGUGGCAACACUCAUGCUCAUUGCAUUCUUGCUAGGCUAUCUGUCUGCUAGAAUAAGCUGGCCACACUUUUGCAGCAGGCGUAAGGUAUUUCUCACCACGCCUAAAUUCUCGAAGGGCCUUCAGCAGUUUCAACACAACGAAAACAAACCGAAUGCCCAGUCCCGGCUACUACUAUUUAGCCACUCUCCUGCCCGUAAUGGCAGUCACAAAGAGGGAGUAACUCCCGCCUUCCUUGAUUGGUGCACAAUCGCGUCUGCCAAUAAAUCAGCCCUAGAUCCUGUAGUGGAGUUUGUUAUCCACCAUAGCGUCCCAGCUCACGCUGGACCCGAUGACGUUAUCAGCGAAUGCACGCUCCUACGUAGGGGCCCCGCUUGUCCCUCUAUCAUCUAGGCAACCUCUCACAGGUCAGUUCAGAAUUUCGAAUUUAAUAAUGCCUUUACAAUGCAUUAUCUUUGGCGGAGGGGUGUGUGACGAAACGCGUCCCUUCGCAAUACAGAACUGACCAGUGCGGAACUAACCCCCCCCCUCUUAACCACUAGUUAGCAUUGUAUAGCCCCUUUUACACUAAACUGACCAGGGUAGAACACAAACAAUCUAUUACACCAAGGUUAGAUCCAACCCCCAAAUCAUAGGCCAUAAACACACAUCCCAAGUUAUACCCAGACGUCGAAACAAACGUACGCAGCCGUUAAGUUCAGGAACAUUAAAAUUGAAUGUUACGCCCCAAACGCCGAAACAAAAGCACGCAACCGUGAAGUCCAGGGACAUUAAAAUUUGGUGUCCACGUACAUCCCUUUGAGUCGACACUCCUAACGCCCAGGGCUAUUCAAAUCGUUUCCGUCCGCUGUACCAUCGAGCGAUGGUCCAGCCUGAUAAUUGUUGCAUGGUUCCGCUUUCAUCCUCCCUCGCCCCCCCCCCCCCGGGUCGCGGGUUAAAGAAGUCAGGUGAAUGAGCCCCAAAUGAAAAGAUUGGUCCAAUUUAACAAUUCUAAACUCAAAAGACUCGCUGGCCAUUGGAUCAUCACUACUCUUAACAUACCGUUCGGGAACCUAUAAAAGCCGGAGACGAAAGUUUCAGGUUAAUGCCAUUCUAGAUCAGAAUCACUGAGAAGUCAGAAGACUCUCAAGUCAACGAUUCAUUUGGGAACUUGUGUAAGGCAAAGCGGCCUCCUACACCAGGGCUGGCGUGUUUUGUUGCCUGAAGGCAGACCUCAGCAGCUCUCCACACAUUCCCGUUGAGGGUGAGUCACUCAUCACCCUCAAACCGAACCGAAGGCAUUCCAGGCUGACGUCCCAGGACCGGUCUGCAACUACCGCAGGAGUAAGCCCACCGCGUGGCAUCCUCAUAUUCAUCACAUUAGCGCCUGCCUACCUGCAGGGCACCAGCAACUGGCUACAACACAACGGAGCUUCAACUUAUCCAACCCCGAAGGAGAACCUUGCUUAACAGAUAAGUGAGAGACAGCCGAAUAAGCAAACCAUACACGAAUCUUUAUGAGCAACAUCCCAGUGAUGAUAUUAUCUUAAACGUCAUCAUAAAAUCCUAAAUCAUUCUGUACAUCCCCCCCCCCACUCACUGAGUGUAUUUCUUCUUAAUUUAUCUUUAUUAAAUACUUGUUCUUCCACAAAACCAAUAAGCUUUGCGUUUUGCCUGUGCCUAUCUAUGUGCCUAUAUAACAUCAACCAAAUAUUUACCACGUUGUGGCUCUAAGACUUUACCCCUAGGAGUCGCAGGCCAUCGUCCCCAUCGGGAAGUGCAAACGGACCGAUCGGCGGACUUAUUCCACCACACUUUUGUAGAUAGUGAUUUUUAGAAACAAGAAAAGACAUUUGAUUUUUCGUAAA